GAAAAGUGAUAUAAAUAAAGAGACUGGGAGACCCAAACCAAGUACAAUAUUGCAUUCUUACCCAAAUACUCUUCGUGAUUGCCUGCUUUGCGGCUUUGGGGCAAUGUUGAUUCAAAUCUGCUCGAGAUGCAGUGUUGCACAGCUAAGCAUCUUCUUGAUUACAAUCCGCCACACUUCUAACUGCGCUCAUUCGCACUGCCACGGAUACUUUGUCAACAGUCAAAUUACACCACGCUGAUAACAAUGCAUAAUGGUGUUCCUCCUCCAGUCCCCUGUCAGGAGAGGGGCUUCAUAAAAA
rnacentral:lncRNA from 1 species